CCUACGGGAGGCAGCAGUGAGGAAUAUUGGACAAUGGGCGGAAGCCUGAUCCAGCCAUGCCGCGUGCAGGAAGACGGCCCUAUGGGUUGUAAACUGCUUUUAUACGGGAAGAAUAAUCGCCACGUGUGGUGAGAUGACGGUACCGUAAGAAUAAGGACCGGCUAACUCCGUGCCAGCAGCCGCGGUAAUACGGAGGGUCCGAGCGUUAUCCGGAAUUAUUGGGUUUAAAGGGUCCGCAGGCGGGCAAUUAAGUCAGGGGUGAAAUGCUGUGGCUCAACCAUAGCACUGCCCUUGAUACUGGUUGUCUUGAGUUGUGGUGAAGUGGCCGGAAUAUGUAGUGUAGCGGUGAAAUGCAUAGAUAUUACAUAGAACACCGAUCGCGAAGGCAGGUCACUAACCACUAACUGACGCUGAUGGACGAAAGCGUGGGGAGCGAACGGGAUUAGAUACCCCGGUAGUCCACGCUGUAAACGAUGGAUACUAGCUGUCGGGAUUUCGGUCUCGGUGGCUAAGCGAAAGUGAUAA
rnacentral:rRNA from 1 species